rnacentral:rRNA from 1 species
CCUACGGGGGGCAGCAGUGGGGGAUAUUGCACAAUGGGGGAAACCCUGAUGCAGCGACGCCGCGUGGGUGAAGAAGCGCCUCGGCGCGUAAAGCCCUGUCAGCAGGGAAGAAAAUGACGGUACCUGAAGAAGAAGCACCGGCUAACUACGUGCCAGCAGCCGCGGUAAUACGUAGGGGGCAAGCGUUAUCCGGAUUUACUGGGUGUAAAGGGGGCGCAGACGGGGAUGCAAGCCAGGAGUGAAAGCCCGGGGCCCAACCCCGAGACUGCUCUUGGAACUGCGUGGCUAGAGUGCAGGAGGGGCAGGCGGAAUGCCUGGUGUAGCGGUGAAAUGCGUAGAUAUCAGGAGGAACACCGGUGGCGAAGGCGGCCUGCUGGACUGCAACUGACGUUGAGGCCCGAAAGCGUGGGGAGCAAACAGGAUUAGAUACCCCGGUAGUC